CAGUAGCCGCGGGAAUACGGAGGAUCCAAGCGUUAUCCGGAAUCAUUGGGUUUAAAGGGUCCGUAGGCGGUCUUGUAAGUCAGUGGUGAAAGCCCAUCGCUCAACGGUGGAACGGCCAUUGAUACUGCAGGACUUGAAUUAUUGGGAAGUAACUAGAAUAUGUAGUGUAGCGGUGAAAUGCUUAGAGAUUACAUGGAAUACCAAUUGCGAAGGCAGGUUACUACCAAUUGAUUGACGCUGAUGGACAAAAGCGUGGGUAGCGAACAGGAUUAGAUACCCCUGUAGUCCCUGUCUCUUAUAC
rnacentral:rRNA from 1 species